GUAGGGUGCGAGCGUUGUCCGGAAUUACUGGGCGUAAAGAGCUCGUAGGUGGUUUGUCGCGUUGUCCGUGAAAUCCCACGGCUUAACUGUGGGCGUGCGGGCGAUACGGGCAGACUAGAGUGCUGCAGGGGAGACUGGAAUUCCUGGUGUAGCGGUGGAAUGCGCAGAUAUCAGGAGGAACACCGGUGGCGAAGGCGGGUCUCUGGGCAGCUACUGACGCUGAGGAGCGAAAGCGUGGGGAGCGAACAGGAUUAGAUACCCUGGUAGUCCACGCCGUAAACGGUGGGUACUAGGUGUGGGUUCUUUCCUAAGGAUCCGUGCCGUAGCUAACGCAUUAAGUACCCCACCUGGGGAGUACGGCCGCAAGGCUA
rnacentral:rRNA from 1 species